UUGGAAUCUUGUUUUCUUUUUUGGUUUUUGUAGAUGUCGUUGAAUUUUACCGUCUCUAUAAUCUAGGAAAUUUAUUUUAUAUUUUUAGCUGCUGAAUUUUUUUCCAUUUUUAUAUUGUUAAGAGAUGAUGAAAAUUGUUAAUAUUGGGAAUUUUUGUUUCAUUAUGAGUUUUUUUUUUUUUUUUUCAAUUGAAAUUCAAAGGUUAAUUGUGCUGCCUUUGUUAAUAUUGAAAGUUAAUUAUAGAAAUUUUAUAGCUUUAACAAUAGAUUCCUUUAAGGAUUAAGCAAUUGUUGAUGUGCUUUUUUUUUUUUUUAAUACAUUGAAAAGAAUUGCACAGAAAUCUUUUCUUUUUUAUUUUUCCAUGAAACAAGUAUUUUCUGUUGGGAAUGUAUACUACGGAAAUUGAUUUACCUAUAACAGAACAAUGUAACUAUUAUUUUUACUCUUUACUUGAGGUUGGACAAGAGUUUUCUGUUUUUCUUUUUUAAUGCUAAAUUUGAUUAUGUCAGUUAGUUUCUUAAGCAGUGGAAUACGAAUAUUAAUUUAAACCAUUGGUUUAUCUUCUUGUUAUCAUGCCUCUAGUCAAAGUUGUUGGAAAGUUUCAUAAUUGGCUUGUGAUUAACAAUUUUAUUUUUGUAGUUUUAUUAUUUUGUGCAAAUCGGAUUUGAAGCUGCAUUGUUUGAUCAGAAAACAACAUUUACAUCAUACUAAGGUUGAUUGUUCUAGAGUCUAUUUUACUUGUGAAGAUUUUUUUAUUUAUGUUAUGAAGUUAAAUUUAUUUGGAAUCAAUAAAAGUUAAGGGGUUCAAAUUUUGAACGAUUUGCUGCAGGAGUUUUGUGAUUAAGGUAUUUUGCAUUUAUUUUGAAGAUGCAAAAUAUGGUUUGAGAAGUGACCAAAUCUGCCAGUUUUUUGGCAUAUUUUGUUGCUGUACUGUUGAAAAAUCAAGACAUGUUUCUCAUCAAAUAUUUGAAUAUUGUUCACAAUAUGGCUUUUUGGUCCUAAUUCAUUUAGUAGGUUAUUAUCCAGUGUCACCAAUAGAGUAGUCUUAUUUGCUGGUGUAAAUUUUGUUGUUACACUUUAAUUUAAUCUUUUCCCUAUUACAUGAUUAUGUUUUACUGAAGUUUGUACCUUUUCAUCAUGUGGAAGCAUUUUGUAUCUCCGUUAGCAGUGUAAUGGGUUCUUACCAUUUUCGGUAUGUAAAAAUCGACUUUUCAACUUUUCAGUGAAGAAGAAGCAAGAAUGAAAACCAGUUCGGUAUCUACACGAUAUUACUUUACAUUUUGAGCACUUUUUGGGAGAAAAUUUGUCUUACAAGUUGAAAGGUAAUAGUUUUUUUCAUGCAUGAUCAUUAGGAGCUCCUGAGAUUUAAUUUGAUCAAUUACAACUUAUGGUGUAGAAUUGCCCGGAGUUAGAUGAGUGCUUCCUGAUUUCUACUUGAAUGUCAAGAAGAAGGAUUAUGUAGGUAUGUACCUUCAUUCCAUGUUUUCUUGUAUUUGUCCUUGGUUUUUACUUCAUUAUUGUACUUUUGAAAAAAUUUGUUGCUUUCUUAAUCACAAUACAUGUAGGAUGCUUACUACUGCUUCUAUUUUGCACUGAAAAUUUCCUUUGUCUGAUAUAUCUUAAAACCAUCAAUUUUUUUCAAGAUUUCAGUCCCGUUGGUUGUUUCUUUUCGAAGGGAAAGGAGGAUUUUGGAGUAAGCUUUUUCAUUCGUUUUGCACAAUCUGUUGAAUCUAUUAAUUUUAGUUUGGGUAUUGUUCUAGGUAUUCCUCAUCGACUUUAUCGCAUAUCUUUUCUGGUUUUACUUUAUUGAUUUUCUUUAAUUAAGUUUUCCUCAGAAGGGGUUUGUCAUUUCUGUAAGGCCGUUGAUUUCUGAAAUAAUAAAGAAAUGGAUGAUAGAGGAAGAGGUGGUGGUGGAUGGUAUUGUGGCUGUGAAGUGAAUUUCACACAAGGUCUUAAUCGAGGGAACACUUGCCAUUCUACCUCUGUUAUAUUCCAUUUUCCUGAACUUUCCAUCUUUCGAUAUAUGAGCAGAAAUUGUAACAAUAUGGAUGCUAUGUAUGACAAUAAAAUUUCCAUCCGUAACAUACUAACGUUACCUUCAAAAUAACCCAAGUACUUAUUAAAAGCACCUGUACAUAAUCUGGGUGAUGUUGUUCUCAUGUGCUGAAAGAUAUACCACAUAGCAAUUCCAACACCUGUAACUAUAAUGCCAAAGAAAAGAUAGUUCUAACUUUUUAAUAAGAACUCUUUAGUUUGCAUGUGGAAAUUAUUUAAAUACAUCUGAUCCAUACCUUUCAAAUAAUGGAAGGAUUCUUCCACCAAUCUCAUUAUGUGCACUUCAGUUUUCCAUUAUAUUUUGCAAAUGAAGCAACUGAUUAGUUAUAUCGAAACUCCCUCUGCAUUUGAAAAAUUCUUGGGCCAUGUUCCUUCAGAUUCCUUUGUUUCGACUGAGACACUCACAAGAAGAACAUCAUUUUCUUCAAUUCUCCAUCAAAUGUAGCAUUAAUAAUUAAAUUGCUUUUAGAUUCAUCCCCUUCUCACCCCCCAAUAAAAGAUUAUCUCUUACCAUAUUCAUGUCAAUGUAAAUUAUUUUCCUUGAACAACAAGUAAAUAAAAUAAGUAUUCUUCCCUUUGCUAGAUCGAGACAAAAGUACGUUUAGUACAAUUUGAAUACUCCCAAAUCCUAGCUUGGAGAAAUUCAGC
rnacentral:lncRNA from 1 species